rnacentral:miRNA from 14 species
CAGACAUUCGCAAGAGCACAUU